rnacentral:rRNA from 1 species
GACGAACGCUGGCGGCGUGCCUAAUACAUGCAAGUAGUACGCUGAAGGAGGAGCUUGCUCUUCUGGAUGAGUUGCGAACGGGUGAGUAACGCGUAGGUAACCUGCCUGGUAGCGGGGGAUAACUAUUGGAAACGAUAGCUAAUACCGCAUAACAGUAGAUGUUGCAUGACAUUUGCUUAAAAGGUGCAAUUGCACCACUACCAGAUGGACCUGCGUUGUAUUAGCUAGUUGGUGGGGUAACGGCUCACCAAGGCGACGAUACAUAGCCGACCUGAGAGGGUGAUCGGCCACACUGGGACUGAGACACGGCCCAGACUCCUACGGGAGGCAGCAGUAGGGAAUCUUCGGCAAUGGACGGAAGUCUGACCGAGCAACGCCGCGUGAGUGAAGAAGGUUUUCGGAUCGUAAAGCUCUGUUGUAAGAGAAGAACGAGUGUGAGAGUGGAAAGUUCACACUGUGACGGUAUCUUACCAGAAAGGGACGGCUAACUACGUG